AGUAGCUCAGUGGUGGAGCCCCCGCUUCGUACGCGGGAAGACCUGGGUUCGGUUCCCCGCU
rnacentral:tRNA from 1 species